GGAUUGCUACAGCAAAGCCUUACAGGAGCUCUUUCAGGCAGUCACAUGUGCUCCGAGGCUGGACAGUGCAGGUGGAUGGGAAUGCAGCCCUGGUCUCAGUGAGAAUGAACACAAUGUGGAGGAAACUGGCUCGAUGUUGGAUGGCCAGAAUCAGUUCCACACAGAGUCAGAUGUGACCCUGCCCUCCAACCUAGCAAGGGCUUCGGCCUCUGAUGUGACUGAGACCACAGCGCCC